rnacentral:rRNA from 1 species
UGUGGAAUAUUGGACAAUGGGCGAAAGCCUGAUCCAGCCAUGCCGCGUGUGUGAAGAAGGUCUUCGGAUUGUAAAGCACUUUAAGUUGGGAGGAAGGGCAGUAAGCGAAUACCUUGCUGUUUUGACGUUACCGACAGAAUAAGCACCGGCUAACUCUGUGCCAGCAGCCGCGGUAAUACAGAGGGUGCAAGCGUUAAUCGGAAUUACUGGGCGUAAAGCGCGCGGAGGUGGUUCGUUAAGUUGAAUGUGAAAGCCCCGGGCUCAACCUGGGAACUGCAUCCAAAACUGGCGAGCUAGAGUAGGGCAGAGGGUGGUGGAAUUUCCUGUGUAGCGGUGAAAUGCGUGGAUAUAGGAAGGAACACCAGUGGCGAAGGCGACCACCUGGGCUCAUACUGACACUGAGGUGCGAAAGCGUGGGGAGCAAACAGG